rnacentral:tRNA from 1 species
GUGAGAUCAAGCCUUGGAGGAGCGAGCGCUUCGUUUACACCGAAGAUGUCGGCGGUUCGAGCCCGUCAUCGCCCACCA